CCAAAAGAUCGAAUGGGGAGAUUCAUCGUCAGCUCAUUUUAUAUAUUUGCUAGUUAUGAUAUGGGUUACUACUUGUAGUAUUGCCUAUACAUUCUUGCUAAUUUAGUUGUAAAAUGUUGUCGGCGUGCACUUCUCCCCUAGUAGGACGUCGCGACCCGUUGAGCGUUGGUCUACGGCCCAAGUGGGAGCUUUCAAUGAGCUUUUAUUUUAUUGAAAACCCUUGGUGUUACCUGACUGGCACUCGUCGGUAUUCGUAUGGUAUUGAGCCGCAUAUUAUAUGUGCGUCCAUAUCUGUCACAAGCGAGAUUAUACACUGAUAGUACGGACCUAGUGCCGUCGUUGGUGCUAAUCAGCUGUUGGUUGUACAGAAUUCUAGGACUGGCUCGUUGAAAUACCGGUCAGCGAUGCUACUGCUUUGGGUACUUUCAGGACCCGUCUUGAAACACGGACCAAGGAGUCUAACAUGUACGCGAGUCAUUGGGAUAUUUAUAAAUUAAACCUAAAGGCGUAAUGAAAGUAAAGGUCGACCUUGUGUCGACUAAGGGAGGAUGGGCUGUGUUACGAGACAGCUUCGCACUCUCGGGGCGUCUCAUUCUCAUUGCGAGAAGAGGCGCACCUAGAGCGUACACGUUGG
rnacentral:rRNA from 1 species